GAUGUUUGUUUAUUGACUUGUACACGAGCUGUCAAAGUGUUAAUUGUUUAGUUCGGGAAGUUACGAUUGUGAGUGCAAGAAGAAUCCUGCCAUAAAUACAGUAAAACACGAGUCCGUCAAUAUUUCGCGCAACGUGAGAGGAAGGCUGAUGAAGUGUACUUGCCUUGGAAGAUGUUGCCCGGUAUUGGAGUAUUUGGAACGGGUAACGUUGUGCGAGUUAUUGUUCCAUUUUUGAGAGAAAAGGGCUUCAAGAUAGAAGCAAUAUGGGGUCGAACACUCACUGCUGCUGAAGAAGUAUCUAAGGAACUUGAGAUACCGUUUUACACUAACAAAAUCGAUGAUGUGCUGCUGCGAAAGGACGUUGAUCUUAUAUUUAUUAUGUGUUCACCAAACCUUCAUGCACAGAUUGCUGUUAAAGCUCUGGGCAUUGGGAAACAUGUGCUAUGUGACAAACCAACCGGGCUAUGUCAAAGCGAAGCAUUGAAGAUGGUACGAGCAGCACAGUAUUAUCCGUCGCUUAUUUCCAUUGUUAACCACAGCUUAAGAUUUCUUCCCGCAUUUUCCCAGAUGAAGAGAGCUAUUGCUGAUGGGUACUUAGGCAGUGAGAAUGAAAUAACCGUCUGCGACGUACGUGUGCAGAUGGGAAGCCUUCUUCACGAUGGUUAUGAUUGGUUAUGUGAUGAUACAAUGGGUGGAGGUAUAUUAACUCUUGUGGGUAGCCACGUAAUUGACCUUGUGUCACAUCUGACUGGUCAGAGGGCUUCACGUGUCCAUGGCCUUGUUCGAACUUUCACGAAGAACACACAUUAUGUGCGUGGCAUAAGGCAGAUUUCAAGUCCAGACUUCUGUGCCUUUCAGAUGGAGAUGAGUGGUGGCACACUUGUGACUGCAACACUUAACAAUCAUCUUCCAGGAACGUUUAGCCAGGAAGUUUUAGUUUGUGGGCGUGAAGGACAUUUAAUGGUGCGUGGUGGAGACUUGUAUGGGUACAAAUCUGGUGCAGCUAAGGAAGAAGUCAUAUAUUUGGACGUGGAAGAUUUGCAGCGUGGAGGAUCUAUUAAUGCUGCUGCAAUAAGUGUGAUUCCACGCCCAUACAUGAAAGGAUUAUUUAAGAUGAUUAGUGCUCUUAGAGAAGCAUUUCUGCCUGUUGAAGACAAGAGUGGAUGGGUGAAGGAACCCGUUGCACUGGCAGCAACAUUUGAAGAUGGUUUGUAUGUGCAAGCGGUCAUAGAUGCGCUACGGAAAUCUAGCGCAAACCGUGAAUGGGUAAAGGUGAAUGUUAUUACAGAGGAACCAGAUCCAAACCCACUAUUGAGUGCUGCUGUGCGGCGUAGUGCCAUAUCCAUGUGACAUACAGAUAACCUGCUGUAAAAUAACUUCAGUACUAAUGUCUGCUUAGCUAACAGGUUGUGCUAUCCUUUGUUCAGUCAGUAUUAGAUGAGAUGUGUACACUUGAUGGAGUAUUGUGAUAGGUUACAGUGCCAAACAUUUCUUGAGAAGUACAAAAAAGAACAUUUUGCUGAGUUAUUACUGAAUUUGAUUUCACUAUUUUUUCUCACCCUGUAUUGUAUUCUGUGCUUCUAAACAUAGUUGAAGUUGAAAGAAAUUUAUAUGAUUUUCUGCCUGUGAUGAGAAUGACUGGCAUUUGUGUAAGGAUGUUGUCUAUAAUGAUGAACAUUUGGACAGGGUUGUGAAAAAUACCUUUGUUAAUAAACAUAGCGAAAAUAAAUGCAAGAAAAUACUUUUCUUUGUGUAUUGAACACCUGAGCACUGACAAAUAUUUAAAAUUUGAUAGCAGAGAAGAGCAAUGUUUUCCCUUGGCCUCUGCACACACUAUAAUAAUUUAAGAAGUUGGAUAUUUGAACAGUGCCUUGUAAAAAUGCAUUGUUUCCAUGAUUCUUUGAUUGCCCUUAUAUGUGCUUAGCUGUACCAGAAGUGUUAUACCUACAACAUACAAUAAAAAGUCACAAAAUGCAAGUUGAGCAAAAUUGUACAUAACUUGCGACUGUUUUGGUCAGUUAGAAUAUGCUGUGUUUAGGGAAAAAGCUCUAUGUGCUGACACAUAGUUCAAAAACUUGAAUAUAUUAGUGAUUAAUCUUGGUGUUGUCUCAUUGUCAAUUUUUAGUGUGUAUUAGUCACACUCAG